rnacentral:tRNA from 1 species
GCGCCAGUAGUCUAGUGGUAAAACCCAUGUUUCCCAUACAUGAGCCCCGGGUUCGAUUCCCGGCUGGCGCA